AAACACCUCUACAAACAACAGAUGCUCAACAAAAACUGUUGCGUGAAUAAUGCAAAGAAGAGACCAAUAAUGCUAAAAGAGACCAAUGGAUGGCAAGCUCUGUCUGCUGAUGGGACUCGUGAGGACAUGGAACAUUUUCCCUGUCACAGAAGCUAUCAUUCAUUAGAGAUGUAGCAGGCAAUAACUUUAAUGUCCACUGGAAUGGCUCUGUGGAAGCUGCCCUGCCAAAGAAAACAGGUGCUCGAUGGCUGUGGAACAAGUCUGAGCAGAGAAUCCAAGCUGAACACUGACACACGUGACCACCGUUCUCAGGGCUGCAGAGAUCAGACAGCAUCAGAAAAAAGACUGGGACUCCUUCCUUAUGCUAGACAACCAAAGGAAAGAGAGCAUGACAGAAGGGCCACCAUUCAAGUCCAGACAUUGCUGUCUUCUGAACCCAGUCCACACUGCCCACCACUCAACCAUGAUCUACGUAAGCCAGUUGCAUAGAAGUAACUGAUGUCAGGAACAUCCUCCUCGUCCAUCUGGUUGACAAGCAUCAUUUAUAAUGGCACAGGUGUGGUAUCGCUCUGAUGAAGAACAAAGACAAGAAGAACAAAGACGGGAGCCUGGCAAAUACAAAUUACUUAUGUUUUACAAGAGAAGCAAAAUUGAAAGUUCUUUU
rnacentral:lncRNA from 1 species